AUAGUGGUAAGUAAAAAUAAAUAAUUUGUGUAUGUGUAUAUGUGUAUUUUUGUGUAUACAUAUAGAUAUAUCAUAAAGUGAAAAAUUAGAAGCAAAUAUCAAAAAUGUGAACAUGAUUAUUUCUGCUACGUGUUUGUUUUCUUGUUAAAACUUUAUUUUUUCAAUUCUGGGAAUAACUCUUUAUACAUGUAUAUAGACACACACACACACAUAUAUACAUGGGGAGAAGAAAAGGAACAGAUAAUGAGAAUAAUGAGAAUGCAAGGAAUUAUUUUCCAGUCCCCAGAACUGACUCUAUCAUUUUUUUCUAAAUUAACAACACUAUUUAUUUUAAACUUUGCCCUUUUACCCACAAAUAUGGAGCUAGGUGUGUGGAGAAGAGCCUAAUUCACUCUUACACACAGUUAGAACACUUGCUAAGACAUCUUUUUGUGUCCAUCACAGAUCAGCCUAAUUUCCUUUCAUGAGAUGAAAAGCAUUGCUCCUCCCAGAAAAUCUCUCAAAAGAUAAAUCAGCAUUUACUGCAAAGUCAUUUUCUGCAGCAGCACUAAGAAUGAGAUGUGUGUUAGCACACCUGUUCACUCACCCCAGCAAGUUCUGGAACUGCAGCAGACAGAACUGAGAUUGACACAAGAGUUUGAAUUACAUUCCAUACUCAUUGGAGAAUAUAAGUCAAGUACAGCGCUGCAAGAAGAAAGGAUACAAAAGACUAUCAAUCUUUCCAUUCCACGGAAGAAUCAGAAUACCCAUCAAGGAAUAAAUGACUUUGGUUCAUAACACCUAAAAUGUAAAACAACAAACAAUCAUUUCCAUUUAAUAAUUUGAGCUAUAUAGAUGUCCACAUUCAUAUUCUGACUCUUGGAGAUAGAGCCAUAUCCAAAGGGUUAUUUGUUGUUACAUUAUUUAUACUUUUCUUGAAAUAAAUCUCAGAGGUAUCUAUAUAAUCCAAAAUCAACAUCAUAAACUUUAGUUCUCUUACAGCCUCUGCACAUAGCUUGACAGUUCUUUAACUUCUAAAUUUGCAGAACCAGCACUUCAAAAUGAUAGGAAUAUAGAGCCACCAGUGACACUCUCUGACAAGCCCAUCCUUCACCCAAAGCACAGCCAAGGGAAGUAUCAUUGUGACCCAAAGCUUAUGCAUGCCAGUCUAGACAUACAUCAGAAACAAAUGUCUUUCUCACACACUAGUUUUAAAAGAACAAGUAGCCAUUUAAAAUCAAAGAAAAGCAAGAAACGAAGCAACCAUCCAACUAAGCUCAGUAAAAAACUAUUUGCAGACAAAAUUUUUAGUUUUAGGCUUGCAUUUUCUUUAGCCUGAGUUUUACAGAUGACCAUUUCAUUCACUCAUCUAUUGUAAUGAGAGUACUAGAUUAAAAUCUAAUUAAGAAAGGAUCCACAAAUAAAUAAAUCAACACACCAAUGAGAGAUAAUAUAAUGAAAUAUGGAAAUGUAUAAAAUACAAGUGGUGUGAAUCAGUUUAGAAAAGAAAUGUUAUUCACACAAUAGGGAGUAUACAAUUGGAUAAUUAUGUGAAAAAAAUGAUUUUUUGUGUUAUAAAAUAAUUAAAAAGGAAUUCUAGAUGGAUUAAAAAUCUAAUUAUAAAAUAUAAAGUAUUCAAAGCAAAUGUAGACAGUUACUCUUGUAACUCUGACAUAAAGGAGGCCUAAGCAUGAAACAAAACAUUGAUAAAAUAUUGAUAGGUUUUACCACACAGAAAUAUACAGUAUUCUCUAGGACAAAAUCCCCUUUGAAAAUAAACCAGACUACUCUUGUUUAACUAUAAGUUAGAAAUAUUUUUUCUAGCAAAUGACAUUUGAUGUGGCUCAAAAAUAUACAAACAUCUAUUAAUAUUUGUUUUUAAAAUACAUACAUGAAAAAUUAUAGAGAUAAGAAAAUUACAGUUGAAAAUAUGAUGGUUUUAAAAAGUUACAAAACACACCAAUAGAUACUAAUUCAUUAUGGGCUAUGUGCACUGCACUGGCCUAAGCUCUCCAUUACUUGAAUGUCUGCUUCUGCAUAUUUUAAAUGAUCCCCAAUCUCUGUUGUGGCUUAAAAGAACUCACACUUAAGAGAGGUCCAAGAUGACACAUAGCUAAAACACUAUGUCUAUAUCCUUAAAAAGAGCUCAGUUUUGGCUAAGAUAGUAACACUGUUUUGGAACAUAUUUCAUGUACAUUUAGAUCUAUUCUGAGUUCUUCUAAAACUAAUAUCCUCUGGGGAAAAUGUGAGUGUGUUUAUCAUUUGUUUUGAGAAAAAUCAUUGUAGUAUUUCCAACUACAUAUGAGGCAGAGUAAGAAAAAUUACUAUGAUAGAUGACUUUAGUUUUCAGUGCAUAUUUCAAUUGUCUGCAAAUAACUGGACAGUCCAAAGAUACUAAAACUACCACAAAAGUCCUCUGUGUUUUGCUUUUCUAAAUGUGUUUUCAUUAGGAAAUAAUAUACAUCAUACAAAAAUAGGGAUAAUAAAAGGAAAUGACAUGAUUCCACCACAUAAACCAAUUUCAUUUAUUCUCCUACAGUAUUUUUCUCUUAUUUAUCUGCUUAGAUUUAAGAAUUCCAAUAUCCACUUUACAAUCUUGUUUAUAGUUACCUUUAUGAGAAAAGGAUUUUCUGAGUAGCACUAGCCCCGUUAGAGUGGGCACCAAUUCUAAAUAAGGAAAAGUCCAAGAUAGUAAGGUGUUAGAGUAUCAGAGAGAAAAUCUUUGGCCCGCCAUAGUGUAACACUUUUGUGUAGAAAAUGCCUUGUAAGAUAUGCUGAACAUAUGGCAUAGAGGUUAAAAUAGUCAACAAAAAAUGUAAUUAAGGUUUCCUGUUACAUGGCUCCCUCCGUGUUCUGCAUGUUAGAGCUAUCUUGACUGGUUUUUAAAGAAACAUUUUUUUUUUUAUCAGAUAGCAUUAUAGAUUAAUCACUUAUGUAGGGCCAAUCCAAAAACCAAUUUUUUAUAUUUUGAGUUCAAUUUCUUUUUCCUGUUUGCCUAGUUUGGGUGCUACGACAUGUGAAGAAAAUGAACCUUUUAAAAAUGUGUAUAGGCAGGAAAAUCCAAGAUACUAAACUACGAAGCUUCUGAAACUUUUUGGGCACUUAAGCAGAAUUUAGUCAUCUGUGUGUGAGAUCUGCAUAUAACCAGUAGUGACAUUUUACAAAAGCAACAUGGUCCAAAUGUUAUAAAAACUGAUUGCAAGGCUGUGUUAGUAAAAUAUUCAACUUGGUGUGAGUGAAAUAACAUGUUUUUUUCCCCACAUAAAAAGACAGUUAUACUUCUUCCAAUACAUGAGGAACUGUAUGCAAUUUCUGACUUUAAAUAGAAAAAUGUAUAUUAUAAGAUUUCUAUUCUCUUUUACCUUAUCAACAUGAUUUCACAUGCACAUACACAUGGGAAUUGGGGACGCUGAAUUAAUUUGUAUCAGUAUUUCCUAGAAAUUUGACUCCCACCCAUAUUUCCUUUAUUAAUUUCCUAGUGUCAUCAACAAAUCAGCUGAAUUUUUUGUUUUUAUAUUAAGAAUAAACAAUUUUAAAAUAUAGCUAAUAUUUUAUAAUAACCAUAAAUGGAGUAUACCUUUAAAAUUGUGAAUCACAACGUUGUACAAACGUUUAUAAUAUUUUACAUCAACUAUCCUUCAAUUUAAAACAAGAGCAAUUCAUUCUGAAACUCUCUGUCAUACCUUAGACAUCAACCCUGACUGAUUUGAAAACUCAAUCAACUGAAAACCCAAAGACUGAAUUAGAACACCAAGCCACCCAUAAGUAUGCAAAUGCAAAGAUGUCUUACUGACAUCUUCUCAUAAUUCCCUAUUCAUAAUCUCUGGGAACCUGGUAUCGGAGGGUACAGAGAAGCCAUGGCAAAAGCUGUACCCGCACCUCUCAUGGCGUUGCUGGGAAAAACAUAUCAGUACAUUGUGGCCAUGGCCUCAAGGAGUCAGUAGCCCUGGUUGCACUACUGACCAGCUGUAAGUCUGUCUUGGACUAGUUCUUUCACUUUCUGGGCUGUGAGUCUAUGAAAAAGUGCUAAUGCUACACACAUUCAAGAACUGUUCAAGAAAAGGAAAAAAAAAUAUUAAUGGUAUCAAAAGCUUUGAAAAAUGAAAAGUCUAUGGUUUCUAAUGCUUUGGGGAUAAGCUCUUUCUCAAGUAAUAGAUGGAGCGUGGGCAGCUCUUAAAAGGAAAUGGUUUACUAGUAUUUUCUGGGGUGAGGGUGGGGACGGGUUGAUUGUCUUUUCUGAUUCCAAGAAAGUGAAAAAAAUCUUUCCGGAAGUUAUUUCCAUAGCUCUUCUUUAUCUUGACUCUGGAGCUUUUCUCCCUUUCCUUUCCUUUCCUUCUCUUUUAAAAAAACCACUUUUACUUCAACUUUUUUCUCUAAUUCUUCCUAAUAAAAACAUUAGUUAAACCCCUAAUCUUUUCUCAAGACUGAGUUUGGAUGCCUGAUACCACCCGUGCUCCACCUUUUCCUACAUGAUGAGGGGCUGAUGCUCUAAUUCUGACCCAUCUGGAAUAGCAAAGGAAGUGUUAGUGUGGGAUGGAGAGAUUGAACCUAUGAUGAUCCCUACCUUAAGCACUGUUUGGAUAUUUUCCUGAUAUUUCCAUGUUAUUCUAUUGACAAGCAAGCUGUGUGAAAGUGGUUAUUUUUUCAGAGCUUGAAGAAUCAUUAGUGACAGAAGUGGAAACUAUCCAAUUUUCUUUUCCUUUUUUCUUUUUGAGCCACCAGGCAGCAUAUGGAGUUCUGAGCCAGUGAUCGAAUCUGAGCCGGAGCUGUGAUCUAUACCACAGCAGGCAGCAACACAGGAUCCUUAAGCCACUGUGCCAGGCCGGGGAUCAAACCCAUGUCCCUGCUGCUGCAGGGAUAUAGUCAAUCCCAUUGCACCACAGUGGGAACUCUUAUCCAAUUUUCUGUUCUUCUUUCACUGAGAUUCUGUGGGCAGUAGUGUUUCUCAGAAUGUACCUCAGAAAAUAUACAGGUAGUUUGUUCACAUUCAAUAUCAUCAAUUAGCUUCUAUUUCAGAAUGGAUUUUCCUGCCUUGCAAAAAAGUCAAUGCUCAUUUACUUUGAUCUCUUUAUAGUUGUCCUUCCUCCUUCGCUAGAAAGUCUUUCCUUGUUGUUAAGUAUCUGCCAACUUGGAAAGCUAAAGGACUCAAAACUGGCAGAGAUACAUUAUUGUCAUCCCCAUGUUUCAUUUUUCCAUAACCCAG
rnacentral:lncRNA from 1 species